rnacentral:lncRNA from 1 species
UUCUGUUAUAUAAAAUGUUUUAAUAAAUUGAAUCCAAGAUAAAAAUUGCCUUACUUCUUAGCAAAGUCAGAGCUUUCAAAAUUCCUGUGUGUGGUUGAGAAACCAAGUUGAAGCAUGAACACUUGCUGUUAAACAGCACUGCACAGAAGGCACUGCUAGUAUGGACCUCCCGUUAGCACCAUCACACAGUGAUGGUGAAGUUUGUCUUCAAGGAUACUGGUGGUGCCCUGAGAGCAGCUUUGGGACUGUGGGCUUUCCCUGAAGAAUCUGUACAGUUAAAACUUUCUGAAGGUUUUGUACAUGUUGCCAAGAAUCAAAUGUUUGGGAUGAUAAUGACCAAGAGAUUAGAGAUGAAAACAUUUCUUUAUUUUUCAAUUUUGCUUGCUUUGUACAUCUGGCAGUGUCAGGGUGUUGUCCAUACCACUAUGUCCCCUGUUUAGUUACUCAUGCUCUCCAUUCAAAAGCACGUCUGAUUGAUUAACCAAGAGCAGGGAGCAGUUCUAUUAGCACAUCCACAUGGCUCUGCAAACCACAACAUUUCUAACACAGGUACAGAAUAAUUAUUCACAGACUGAAGUUAGAAGCCAGCAAUUAGAAAACCUUUUAGAGAUUGAGCUGUAAUCAUAGCCUAAUUUUGCUGGAUGAGUUUCAAUUUUUUGAGACCCUUACAUCAGUUUUACCUGACAAAACAUUAAUAAAAUUAAAUACUGAUCUUCAGAUCUUCAAAACCAGAUGCCAUACAACACGACAAGAAGGAAAGUGACACACAAGACAAUUCCAACAUAAGGUGUUGAAGGAAUGUGUCAGUUGGGAUUAAGUAAUAGUGGCUAAGACCACCUCAGGUACAACCUCCUAACUAACUCAUUUCCCUGUUUCCCAACCCAAAUAGAAAACAAAAGCCAAACCAAAAAUCAAUUCAAAUCUAAAAAACCAUGGAUUUGACAGGAAACAGAACAUUUUGGGUUUGAGUAUUUUAAAUGCUUCUGAAUUCGAAUAAACUUAGUAAUGCAAUGUUCUGUCAAAAUAAA